rnacentral:rRNA from 1 species
GACGAACGCUGGCGGCGUGCUUAACACAUGCAAGUCGAACGGAAAGGCCUCUUUCGGGGGGUACUCGAGUGGCGAACGCGUGAGUAACACGCGAGUAACCUGCCCCUGCCGCUGGGAUAACUUCAGGAAACUGGGGCUAAUACCGGAUAGGAGCUCCUGUUGCACGGUGGGGGUUGGAAAGUUUCGGCGGUUGGGGGUGGAGUCGCGGCCUAUCAGAUUGUUUGUGGGGUAGUGGCUUACCAAGGCUUUGGCGGGUAGCCGGCCGGGGAGGGUGACCGGCCACAGUGGGACUGAGAGACGGACCAGACACCUACGGGAGGGAGGAGGGGGGAAUAUUGCACAAUGGGUGGGAGCCUGAUGCAGCAACGCCGGGUGCGGGAUGACGGACUUCGGGUUGGAAACCGCUUUCGCUCAUGACGAAGCUUUGUGUGACGGUAGUGGGUAAAGAAGCACCGGCUAACUACGUG